ACAUCGUGGUUUGGACACUUCAUAAGCACCUCUUUAAAUCUCCCCCAUGCUUCAUACAAAUGCUCUCCAUUGUGUUGAUGAAAAUUUAUGAUUUCUUCACCUAAUUG
rfam:Capsicum annuum cultivar Zunla-1 chromosome 3, whole genome shotgun sequence